rnacentral:rRNA from 1 species
GACAUAGGUCGCAAACGUUAUCCGGAAUUAUUGGGCGUAAAGGAUGCGUAGAUGGUUCAAUAAGUUACUGGUGGAAAUCGAGGCUCAACCUCGUGGAAGUCAGUAAUACUGUUGAACUUGAGUGCAGGAGAGGUUAACGGAACUUUAUGUGGAGCGGUAAAUGCGUAGAUAUAUGAAAGAACAUCAAUAUGGCGAAGGCAGUUAACUAUUCUGUUACUGACGUUGAG